GGGGAUGUGGCUCAAUGGCAGAGCGCUUACCUAACAUGUAGAAAGACCUGGGUUCAAUCCCCAGCAGCCUCC
rnacentral:tRNA from 1 species